CAGUAAAUCCAUAAGAUAGAUGGUCCCUUUCAGGAAGCUACUCCGUGAAACCCCCAUGGCUGUGAGAAGUCUUUGACUGGAGGACUCUCACAUCAUAUGCUACCUUUGCCAGUCCCGCCCACACCUGCGAAUCAGCUGCCAGCACUGCACCUGUGAUUUCUAAAUUGCCAUCUCCUGAUCUCUACGUAACCUCCGGUUGCACAUUUCCAGUUCCUUACCGGAUCUACCCCACAAAGGUCCAUAUGUUCCUCAACGUCUCCAAGACUUCAUCUAAUUGUCCUGCCUGCCACCCCCAUCUCUCCUUUAGCACUUCUAUUUCUUAUUUCCUAAGUCAAUUGAUAGGAUUGCAAGAAAGUUUGGGGUUAUCUUGGAAUACUUCCCGACUCACAACUCCUGCGCAGAUGGGGGAUGCAUUACAGCCCUGUGUCUGCUCCGGACGGGAGCUGAGCUCAUCUGCUAGACUUCAUGGACUUGAACCUGGACUGCUUUGGAGUUCAUUCAUGUUCUACCCACACUUGGAUAACAGCUCAGAAUAAGCACAGAAGCUUUCCAUUUUUUUGUUUUGAAUAAAUAUGGGAAAGUAUAAAGGGUAAUGGGAAAUAAAAUAAAAAUAUGGGAAAGUAUAAAGGAUAAUGUAACAAAAACCCAUAUUCCUAGAAAUGGUAACACCUAGAAAUAUUAACUUUUCAAAUUUUGUCCUAUUUGCUUGUGGUAUUUUAAUUUGAGAAAGUAUAAAGGAUGAUGUAACAAAAACCUAUAUUCCUAGAAAUGUUAACACCUAGAAAUAUUAACUUUUCAAAUUUUGUCAUAUGUGCUUGAAGUAUUUUUUUAAGGCAAUAAAGCAUUAGAGUUAAAACUAAAAUCCUCUUUAGCCUCCAACCCUAGUGUUCCCAGUCCGCACCCCAAGGGCCACUAUCAUCAUAGGAUGGUGUAUAGCUAUGCGGUCCGUUCAUUUCUUUUAUUUCUUUCUACUGAUAUGAAAUUUAUUUAUUGCAUUUCUAGUCUAUUAGUGUUAAUAAAGUUUUAAUGUGUAUACUUAUAUAUUUUUUCAAAACUUAAAAUUCACCAAUGUCUAUAUUCUCUGUAACAUGGCAAUAUAGUUACAUUCUGUGCUAUUUUCAAACACUCUCCUUAUCUGAACACCAUGUUAACACCUACGUCUCAGUUCAAGCUUAUUUUAAUCACAACAUUUUUUCUCUUUCUUUUCUUCUUUUCUUUUUUGUCUUCCUCUUUCUGUUACUGCUUUAGGAUUUAUUAAUUAUGAUAGGAUUGCAAGGACAUUUGGGGUUAUCUUGGAAUACUUCCCGACUCACAACUCUGUUGGAAGAAAUACUAGAAUCCUGUUUCUGCCGCAUUUGUGUCUUGAUCCUUGAAACUUAUGCCCUCUGUUCCUCAAGGACCUAAAACAGAAACACCACUCGACCCAGCAAUCCCAUUACUGGGUAUAUACCAAAAGGAGUAGAAAUUGUUCUAUCAUAAAGACACAUGCACACAUAUGUUCAUUGCAGCACUAUUUACAACAGCAAAGACAUGGAAUCGACCUAAAUGCCCAUCAGUGGUAGACUGGAUAAAGAAAAUGUUGUACAUAUACAACAUGGAAUACUACGCAGCCAGGAAAAAUGACAAGAUUAUGCCCUUUGCAGGAACAUGGGUGGAGCUGGAGGCAUUAUCCUUAGCAAACUAACAGAGGAAUAGAAAACUAAAUACUGCAUGUUCUCACUUACAAAUGCAAGCAAAAUGAUGAGAACACAUGGACACAAAGAGGGAAACAACACACACUGGGGUUUUUUCAGAGGGUGAAGUGUAGGAGGGAGAGGAUGGGGAAAAAUAAUAACUAAUGAGUACAAGGCUUAAUACCUGGGUGAUGAAAUAAUCUGUACGACAAACCCCCGUGACACAAGCUUACCUAUAUAACAGACCUGCACAUGUACGCCUGA
rnacentral:lncRNA from 10 species